rnacentral:tRNA from 1 species
GCCUUCGUGGUGUAGUGGUUUGCAUGUUCGACGCGUAACCGAGAGGUCCGUGGUUCGAUUCCGGGCGAAGGCG